rnacentral:lncRNA from 10 species
AGGUUCCACCCUUUUCUGGGAACUUUACACCCCGCCACUCCUGAGCACCGCACACCGGCUUCCUCCCAGUCCCUCAUCUGAGAACUCAUGAAGCCACUUGGAAUCCCUCUCUGCUUUGCCUGGCUCAUUCCAUGUCAAUUUCAGAUCUUCACUUCAGGUCAGCUCCAAGGAGGCUAUCCUUGCCCAUCUUCCUAAAAUAGAGCUCUCAAAACCUGGCUGUUUUCCUUCAGAGCACUGGCCUCCAAUUGCUCCGGUAGAUUGCAAAUGACCUGCUUUCUUUCUGUUCCCGGGCUGCGUUCGGACCCCUGUCGGAUAGUAACUCCCAAGUAAGGUACCUGCCGUCGGCAGAUUGGAGCUUUCUUCUUGGAGACCUAAUACCCACAGUCCUCCAGAAAAACAAACAAAGACAUGGAUUUACUGUGCAUAUUAGCAGAUCCAUACUGGAAAAUGCAUGGAGGUUUCAUAUACACCACUUACAGGUUUCCAAAGCCACAAUUUCCUUCAUAUGUUCAAACUCUUCAGGAUGCAGAAAGGCAGUGAACUCCUCCGGAGUAGCUGUCAGGUCACCAUUGAGGUCUGCAGCUUUGAAUCUUCUCUCAUCACGUGGCAGCAUCUUUUUAAAGGUGUGAUGAUCUGAAGAAUCAUGAAACUCUGCGGGGUUUCCUAGGUUUUCAGCUCCUCAGUAGUGACAAAGCCAUACCCAUCAUUGUCGAUUCGAUCAACAAUCUUCCCUAGCCUCUCCUUGCUCUCGUCCGGGGUGAGCUCGUCGAAGUUCUUGGAGUCCUCCUUGCCCAGGAAGGCCUCGUGGUCGUACUGGAAGCUCUGGUUGUCCUCAGGGGGCCGCUCGCCCAGCUCCGAGUCGGGCCGCACCACGCGCUCUUUGCGCACCGUGGGCUUGGCCCGCAGAACCCGCGGCGCCAGCACCAGCGCCAGCAGCAGCCCCAGGGCUAACCCCAGGCGGCCACCGCGCGCCAUCGUCCCGAGGAGAGGGCGGCCGGGAGGGAGACGCUGAGCGAGCGACAACAGCGGCAGCUCGGGAAUGGGGGCUCGGAGCGCGGCGGCCAAGUUUUAUGUUAUGUAUAUUUUACAAGUAAAAAAAUUUUUUCACCUCAGCCUGAACUGAACACUAGCUGACAGACGUUUUGAUUUCUUUGACCAUCACGGAAUCGUGGCCAAGCGCGGUGGCUCACAUCUGUAAUCCCAACACUUUGGGAGGUCAAGAUGGGCGGAUUGCUUGAAUCCAGGUGUUUGAGAUCAGCCUGGGCAACAUG